rnacentral:lncRNA from 1 species
UGUGGACUCAGGGCGCACUGCCUGUGAGUAGAGACAGACCAGCACAGAGCAAGAGCCCCAUGCCGAGAGGCAGCAGACUGGAGGGAUGCAGCCACCAGCCAGGGUGCACCCAGGGCCGCCAGCAGCCACUGUGUGGGAGAAGGGCAUGGGAGGAGCCCACUCUGCCCACACCUCACUGUCAGACCCUGGCCUCGGAGACAGAGAGAGAGCAGGUUCCUGUUGCCCCAAGCCAUGCAGUGUGCAGCACCCUGUUAUGGCAGCCACGGGAGACCAACGUUACCAUCCAGCUCAUGUCUCCGCCUCAGAGUUCACCUUCUUCCUUCUGAUGCGAGGAUGGCAUUCUGCAGACGCGGAAGACUUACUCCCUCGGAAGCCAAAACCACAAAGUGGGAUUCCUUCGGAGAGAUUGCUGGUUGCCGUCUUGCUACCUCUCCACUGUCCAGCCUUUUUGUCAGUUGCCCCCUCAUCACUUCUCUUCUUUUGAGAGAAUCAGUUGUCCCACCAACUGCGGACCACCACCUCUCUGCUGUCUCACCACCCACCCACCCACCACUGCCACCUCCACUGUUUCAUCUUCAUGGCUGCCAGGUGAUGCAGGGCAGGUGAGCCCCAAAACUGGGGCUUAGCCCAGGAGGGUUCUCAGCUUUGCCCAGGAAAGAAUUCAAGGGUGGGCCGGCGGUGGCAGGCAG